GAGCUUGCUCCCUGAUGUUAGCGGCGGACGGGUGAGUAACACGUGGGUAACCUGCCUGUAAAACUGGGAUAACUCCGGGAAACCGGGGCUAAUACCGGAUGGUUGUUUGAACCGCAUGGUUCAAACAUAAAAGGUGGCUUCGGCUACCACUUACAGAUGGACCCGCGGCGCAUUAGCUAGUUGGUGAGGUAACGGCUCACCAAGGCAACGAUGCGUAGCCGACCUGAGAGGGUGAUCGGCCACACUGGGACUGAGACACGGCCCAGACUCCUACGGGAGGCAGCAGUAGGGAAUCUUCCGCAAUGGACGAAAGUCUGACGGAGCAACGCCGCGUGAGUGAUGAAGGUUUUCGGAUCGUAAAGCUCUGUUGUUAGGGAAGAACAAGUACCGUUCGAAUAGGGCGGUACCUUGACGGUACCUAACCAGAAAGCCACGGCUAACUACGUGCCAGCAGCCGCGGUAAUACGUAGGUGGCAAGCGUUGUCCGGAAUUAUUGGGCGUAAAGGGCUCGCAGGCGGUUUCUUAAGUCUGAUGUGAAAGCCCCCGGCUCAACCGGGGAGGGUCAUUGGAAACUGGGGAACUUGAGUGCAGAAGAGGAGAGUGGAAUUCCACGUGUAGCGGUGAAAAUGCGUUAGAGAUGUGGAGGAACACCAGUUGGCGAAGGCGACUCUCUGGUCUGUUAAC
rnacentral:rRNA from 1 species